AGUAAAGCCGAAAGUCAUGAAAGGUGACACUUGCUCAAAAGUUGAAUUAAUGUAUGUACUGCGUUAAACCCAAGAGGAAAACAAAUCCUUGAAUAAUGGAUUGUCUACCUAGAAGAUAAGAUGAAAGAAAUAAGUUGAAUGCAAAAAUUCUUCGCUGCUCAACAGUCACAUAUCUUGCAUACGUCAUCAACAGUUUCAGUUGAAUGACCACUGGC
rnacentral:lncRNA from 1 species